GAAAUUUGUUUAACUUGGUUGUUUUGUAUAUAUAAAAAAAAUUAUUGUAUAUAAAUAUGUAUUUAGCCAGCCGCAAAAUUUCGCCAGAAGCAUCUCAUUGAAUUGGUGUUAAACAAUUUACCUUUACCCCACCACUUUCAAGAGCGCUGAUGACUCAAAUUGGCUUGUUAAAAUGGAAAGUGUUGAAUAUUGAAACCUUUCAAUUGUUGAAGAACACCUUGCGUUGUCUUGUGUAAUACUCAAUUGUUCUAUUUACAUUUAAUGCGGUGAGCAAUUUGCUUAACUAUGGGAAUGGUCGAACUUAAUUAUAAUUAGUAUAAAUAUAUUUUGCCGUAGACAUAUUUAAAAUUUCCAUGAAUCACUGUCGAAUCUGUGACACAAUGAACACAAUAAAAAAAUUAACCUAA